GACGAACGCUGGCGGCGUGCUUAACACAUGCAAGUCGAACGAAGUGGCGAACGGGUGAGUAACGCGUAAUCAACCUGCCCUUCAGAGGGGGACAACAGUUGGAAACGACUGCUAAUACCGCAUACUGCAGGAGGGGCUUGCGUCUGAUUAGCUAGUUGGAGGGGUAACGGCCCACCAAGGCGAUGAUCAGUAGCCGGUCUGAGAGGAUGGUCAGGCACACUGGAACUGAGACACGGUCCAGACUCCUACGGGAGGCAGCAGUGGGGAAUAUUGGACAAUGGGCGAAAGCCUGAUCCAGCCAUGCCGCGUGUGUGAAGAAGGUCUUCGGAUUGUAAAGCACUUUAAGUUGGGAGGCGUUACCAACAGAAUAAGCACCGGCUAACUUCGUGUCAGCAGCCGCGGUAAUAC
rnacentral:rRNA from 1 species